rnacentral:lncRNA from 1 species
GGGAGAGGUGGGGGUCCCAGGGGGCCUGGGGACCCAGGGAAUGGCAGCUGAGCCAGGCUGGGGCCUUCAGGGCUGUUUCUCGGAAGAGUGACAUCUGAUAGGAGAAGACAGGAAGAAUGGAUGUGGGGAAGGUGGUUGGGGACAGAAAUAGCUGAUGUGCAGAGCAUCAGAGACAAGAGCAAGCUCUGUGGUGAGGGAAAAGAAGUGAUUCAGUCAGCCUGGGGGCAGAGCACAGGGAGGGCAAGGAGGGGUGAGGAAGGACCGGUCAUGAGAGCCUGGGAGCUGCCAAGGGGUGUGCCCUGUGCCCUAAGGCCAGAGAAAGCGCAUGGCCAGAUGUGCCUUUUGAGGAGGCCACAAUGGGUCUUGGGGAGACUGGAUGUGGAGUGGCAGGGGCAGGAGGAGGAGGACUGGUCAGGACCCCGUGGAGGUCACAGAGGAAGGGAUGGGGCUGCCCCAAAGCAAGUGGUUGGGAGCUGGACAAGGAAGUGAAUUCAGGAGAAACUUCCAGAGUCGGUAUUCAUUAUUUGGUAUUGUCAUGAGAAAGAGGACAAAGGUCAGCUGACCCCUGGCCUCAGAUUGGACAGCCUGGGACGAGAGAUGGAGGAGGUCUGUCAUUCACUGAAAUCAGGUACAGAGAGGGGGAACAACUGAGGAGCUGUCAAAUCACAAAGCUGUGGUGCCCAGGGCCAGGACAUUGAGGAGCAGGAGGGAGGUGUGGAAGGGGAGGAAGGCAGGGACGAAUCAGGACCAGGGGGAGGAGUGGCAGGGAAGACUCAGGCCAGCCGCUUCCCAGCGGACUGUUCUCAGUAAGUGCCUUCGUUGCUGAGCAAGGGCUCGCUGCCUGAUGCCCAUGGAAGCCAACACGAUGGCACCAGCUUUUGAGAAAAGAAAGAACUUUAUCGGGAAGUUGACCAGCAAGGAGACAGGAGGCGAGUGUCUCAAACCUGCCUCUCCGGUCCAAGGUUCUGGGUAAAAUUUAAGGAUUUGGGGCUCCUAAGCUGCAUCUGGGACCCUAUAAGCUGAUUGGCUAGUCUCAAAUCAGUCCCUAUAUGGUAUUCAAGCUACUUGGGCUACUGGGAGCCAGACUUUCCUUAUUGGUGGAGUUCUGGCUUCAUAAAUUGCUCUGGUGGCAACAUUUAUGGAGAUUCUUGGUUCCAGGGUCAUCCUGGGGCCCUGGGUUCCCGCCUGGUACAGUGCAGUGCUGGGUCUGUUGUUGAGCAAGGCUUGAUUAAAACAACCUAUCUUAAGGAAGCAAAAGCAGUGUAAGCAGGUGAACGUGUUACGUGCUGUAUCAACUUCACCUCUCUCGUAGUCAGCUUUCUUCCUGAGCAAUGGAGUGAUGCUUCCUUCCCCGGGGGAGGUGUGAGGGUUGCAGUUAUUAAAGAAAAAGAGACAGCAAAGGCCGACUGUGUGAGUGCAGCAGCCCCCUCAGUGCUGGAAGCUGGGGGCCCUACAACUGUCCCCUCAAAGGCUCAGGUCCCGUUAGGAUGCUGUCAGUUCGUGUCUUGCAGAGGGGCAUCUCCAAGAGUAGGUGUCCUGAGACUGGAGGGAACAGAGUCUGAGGAGGAGAAGGAGCCUGGUGCGGCCAUACACAGCAGGGGCAUGAGGCAUGAUGAGGACUUGAGGGUCCCUCUGUGACAGACAGAGAAGCUCAAGACUCACCUACCCGAUCUUGCUGGGGAUGUGCCUGGGGCUGCCACAUGCAGGCUGUCAUGUCAACACACUCAGCAGCACAUGCACAAUGCACCUGCAUAUACGUGUCUGUAUGCUCUGUAUGUGCACACAUACACAAACAAAACACACGCACACGACACACAGAUAGAUGGUACCCUACUGGACACACACACAUACACACAACACACACAUAUACACUUGCAAAAUAUGCACAUGUAUACAUGUGAACACAUGCACAUGCACACCACGCAACACACACGCACACACAUACACAUGCAUACUAUACACACACUGGACAAAUCUCCACUUCACAAGGUCACUUUUUCCAGGCUUCAGCGAGUCGGUAGUGAGGGAAUCUCUAAAAGCGACAGCAGCCUGAGGGUCCCACAGGGAUUAUGAGAUCUUCCCCCACCCCAGGCUCCUACCGGGUGACGAAAAUUAGCAACGGGGCCCUCAGGCUGAGCCGCAGCUCCCCAGCCGGGGUCUCUGCUGUUGCCUAACAGCCUGUCAACACCGUUUCUGGCUUUUCUCUUCCAGGGUUAUGAAGAUCUCGAGGCUGGAGACCUGAUGGAGAUUUUCCACACUGGCGAUGAGCAUUGGGCGAUCUAUGUGGGAGGUGGUGAUGUGCUCCAUCUGGACCCUAUAAGUGAGUGCCCUAGGGCUGACUCCUCCAGCACCUACUCCAGCGGGAACAUCAGGGCGGUGGUGAAACAGGAGCAUGUGAGGUACGCAGUGGGAAGCUGCCUCUAUCGAGUGAAUAACUAGUUGGACCAGGUGUACAGACCGCGGCCUGUGAAUGAGAUCAUCAGUUCUGCGAGAGAGAUGAUUGGGGCGCAGUUGGAGUACUGUGUUAAGGACAGGAAGUAUAAGCACUUUGUCACCCAUCUGAGAUAUGGCAAAGCCUGCAGCAGGCAGGUAAGGUCCUCUUUGGGGUGAUCACUCUCUCUCUUUGAGGUCUGCUUGGGUGGGGGCGACUGGGCUGGAGAGCCAGCAGGGAGACUCCCCAUGAAUGCUGCAAACACAGGCUCUCGGGAUGUCUGACAGAGGGAGAGGGGAGGAGUGGGUUGCGUAACGUGGUUGGGGAGAGAGAUCCCUGAUGUGCAGAGCAGAAGUGACAAGAGCAAGCUCUGUGAGGGG